rnacentral:lncRNA from 1 species
AUUCUAUUUGAUGUAAAUACAUGAUUAGAUACUCAGGUAUGUAUAUAUACUAGUUAAAUAAAUGUGUAUACUUGUAUAAUAUUAUUUGUAGCCUUGUGACAUCAUCACGAUGGUAACUUGUGUACGAGUGAUUCACCCCUUACAACAGUUAGUGCAGGAUUCUAAGACCUCAAGUUGAAGUUCAUUGAGAAAAGGAAAACGUGAUUGUGAGAGACAUUAAUUAUAAUACAAGGACCGUUAGUGUUGAUUAGUGAUCUAGUUUAUUUUUCGAGUCCGAAGAGAAAGAUCUAUUUGAUAUGUAUUGAUGACGUCACUGGACUGGAUGACAGGCAUCUGUGGUGUUUGAUCAGCUCGUGAUUAUUUGUGGGUUAGAGUCUUUUGUAGGAAUUUAUCUUUUUAUCAUUUUAAAUUGAAAAAUUGUACGAUACUUAUGUAAACUGGAAAUGUUUUAUAUUUGAAAAUCCUUUGAUCAAAAUUACUAGAUGAUUGUUUGAUAUAAGUGAUGCAUAUAUUUAUGGACUUACUUUAAAUUUAUAUAAAGAGAAU